rnacentral:tRNA from 15 species
GCCGGGGUGGUGAAACGGUAGACACGCUGGCUUCAGGUGCCAGUGAGCCUUACGGCUCGUGGAGGUUCAAGUCCUCUCUCCGGCAC